GUUUUGGCGCGGUGGCGGAAUGGCGGCUUCCACCUCUGAAGCGGGCGACGCUAUGGGUCCCACAGUGGUUUGCUAAGAAGGCCAUUUUCAACUCUCCAUUGGAGGCUGCUAUGGCGUUCCCUCACCUGCAGCAGCCCAGCUUUCUACUGGAGCUGCACACCAUCUUCCCAUGGCUGGUAGAGAGCAUUUUCGGCAGCCUAGACGGUGUCCUCGUUGGCUGGAACCUCCGCUGCUUACAGGGGCGUGUGAAUCCUGUGGAGUACAGCAUCGUGAUGGAAUUUCUCGACACUGGGUAGGUAGGUUGGUCACCGGAGAGAGGCUGGGUGAUUCCUCAUGGUGAUUCCACCUUUAAACCACUCUCUGAAUUUCUUAAGAUUAAGAAACAAUCAAAGCAAGAUAAUUCACAGUUCAUUUGCCCUGUUUUUGUUUGUUUGUUCAAUUUCAUGUUCAGUGGCCCAAUGAUGAAGUUGGUUUAUAAGCUUCAAGCUGAAGACUAUAAGUUCGACUUUCCUGUCUCCUACCUGCCUGUAAGUAAACCACAGUGGCGAGAGUGGUGCUCGGGGCAGUGGGCCUUGCACAGCCCUGUGGUGAUGGGCAAUCUCCUCCAGUCCUCUGAGGGCAAAUUGAGGAGCGAUUCGUUCCAGGGGUGUGAGAGGCAAAGGAAAUGGGUAUUGCAUGACUGCUACCCUUGCUGUCUGCAGCUUUUUAUGAGAUGGUAGGAGAAGUUCUAAGCAAAGACUCUUGUUCAGGCACUGCUCAGAGGCAGGGCACUGUCCCCACAGGUGGGUUCUGUGUGUGGGUCUCUUCCCCAGCAGCCUUCCCAAAGUGCUGCUGUGCAUGUGGGGUACUGCGUAUCGGGCACUACGCACCAGCACCUGCCCGCAAGCCUCACUGCCUCUCUCUGCAGGGUCCUGUGAAGGCGUCCAUCCAGGAGUGCAUCCUCCCUGACAGUCCUCUGUACCACAACAAGGUCCAGUUCACCCCUACUGGGGGCCUUGGUCUGAACCUGGCCCUGAGUAUCCUUUGGUGGCCCUGAGGUAGGGAGGCUGUGGGUGGCCCAGCACUUGACACUUGCGGGGGGUGUGGCUCAUCAACCCUGCGUGUUUGCCCCUGACGCUGCUCUCAGAUCCAUUCGAGUAUUACAUAUUCUUCUUUGCCUUGAGCCUCAUCACUCAGAAGGUAAGGAAGGGAUGCCUUUUGCUGGGAGAGGUGGGGCCACGGCCCAGGGCUUCCCUGCACUUGUUGGUGCUUGGUGGCCUGGCAGUGUCCAGAGCCCACGCUAACAACUAGCUUGGUUUUCCAGCCACUCCCUGUGUCCCUCCACGUCCGUACUUCAGACUGUGCCUAUUUCAUCCUGGUGGACAGGUACCUGUCAUGGUUCCUGCCCACCGAAGGCAGUGUGCCCUGCCACUCUCCUCCAGCCCAGGGGGGACCAGCCCCUCACCGCCUCCCAGGUAAGGCUGCCCUUUGUUAAGACCUGGCCCUUCCAUAAGGGAGUGGCCUGGUCACUUGCAUCGCCCACGGGGACAAUGUUGCCACCCUUUGUCCACGGUUCCCCAAUUUUUCUUAUGCCUCAUUCCCCACCCCCAGCUGUCUUAGCACAGACUGGAGGGUGGGGUGUGGCGGGCAAUCUGUCCUUAGUGUUCAGUGUCUUUGGCCAUCACUGAAGCUAUCAGGUCCCUGGAGGCCUCCACGGCCUGCAUGGGAAUGGGCUGUGUUGUGCAUGGAGCAGCCCUCCCCACAGGCAGUGUCUGAGGCAGUGAGCAGGGUGGAAAGGUUGUCCUAUGAGCAAAAAAAA
ensembl:lncRNA SMPD4BP sphingomyelin phosphodiesterase 4B, pseudogene